rnacentral:rRNA from 1 species
UACGGAGGGGAGCUAGCGUUGUUCGGAAUUACUGGGCGUAAAGCGCGCGUAGGCGGCUUUGUAAGUUAGAGGUGAAAGCCCGGGGCUCAACUCCGGAACUGCCUUUAAGACUGCAUCGCUAGAAUCCGGGAGAGGUGAGUGGAAUUCCGAGUGUAGAGGUGAAAUUCGUAGAUAUCAGGAGGAACACCAAUGGCGAAGGCAGCUCGCUGGGACGUGACUGACGCUGAGACGGCGAA